GACGUAGGGCGCGAGCGUUGUCCGGAUUUAUUGGGCGUAAAGAGCUCGUAGGCGGCUUGUCGCGUCGAAUGUGAAAACCCACGGCUCAACUGCAGGCUUGCGGUCGAUACGGGCAGGCUAGAGUUCGGUAGGGGAGACUGGAAUUCCUGGUGUAGCGGUGAAAUGCGCAGAUAUCAGGAGGAACACCGGUGGCGAAGGCGGGUCUCUGGGCCGAUACUGACGCUGAGGAGCGAAAGCGUGGGGAGCGAACAGG
rnacentral:rRNA from 1 species